CCUACGGGUGGCUGCAGGGAGGAAUAUUGGUCAAUGGACGAGAGUCUGAACCAGCCAAGUAGCGUGAAGGAUGACUGCCCUAUGGGUUGUAAACUUCUUUUAUAUGGGAAUAAAAUGUUCCCCGGGUGGGAUUUUGUAUGUACCAUAUGAAUACGGAUCGGCUAACUCCGUGCAAGCAGACGCGGUAAUACGGAGGAUGCGAGCGUUAUCCGGAUUUAUUGGGUGUAAAGGGUUCGCAGGCGGAUUUUUAAGUCAGCGGUCAAAUCGUGGGGCUCAACCCCAUCCAGCCGUUGAAACGGGGGAUCUAGAGUGUGCGAGAGGUAUGCGGAAUGCGUGGGGUAGCGGUGAAAUGCAUAGAUAUCACGCAGAACCCCGAUUGCGAAGGCAGCAUACCGGUGCACAACUGACGCUCAGGCACGAAAGCGUGGGUAUCGAACAGGAUUAGAUACCCGGGUAGUC
rnacentral:rRNA from 1 species